AUGCGGCGGGCUCGGGCCGCGGGGCUGGCGGCGCUGGCUGUGCUGCUCAGCGUGACUUCAGGCAGAGCCCAGGUACAGCAGGAGCCAUUCCUGGAAACCACCGAGGGCACCGGCAUCAACAUCACCUGCACACAUACCAAGAAAGUGAGCUCCGAUUACAUCCAUUUCUACCGUCAGCUCCCCGGCCAAGCACCUGAAUUCCUGGCACUCGCUGCUAGAAGCUCCAAGCCACUGUCGGACAUUGCAGGAUCGCUGUCGGUGUCAGAGGACGGGCGUUCGAGCUGGCUGUGGCUCGCUGAGCCCCGGCGCGGGGACGCGGCCGUGUAUUACUGCGCGCUGGGGGCCACGGGCAGAGGAGCCGGGGCUGCGGCCGGGCACGAACCGCCGCGGGCGGGGCCGGGCGGGGCCAGCAGGGGGCGCUGCCGCUCCGCCCGCCGGGGCCGCCGAGCCCCGCUUGUUCCGGGCUGCCGCCACCGGCACUGA